rnacentral:rRNA from 1 species
GAUGAACGCUGGCGGCGUGCUUAACACAUGCAAGUCGAGCGAAGCGAUUUUAAGGAAGUUUUCGGAUGGAAUUAAAUUGACUUAGCGGCGGACGGUGAGUAACGCGUGGGUAACCUGCCUCAUACAGGGGGAUAACAGUUAGAAAUGACUGCUAAUACCGCAUAAGCGCACAGUGCCACAUGGCACAGUGUGAAAAACUCCGGUGGUAUGAGAUGGACCCGCGUCUGAUUAGGUAGUUGGUGAGGUAAUGGCUCACCAAGCCGACGAUCAGUAGCCGACCUGAGAGGGUGACCGGCCACAUUGGGACUGAGACACGGCCCAAACUCCUACGGGUGGCAG